AACUUUACCCCUCGGGAAACCGUGAUAAGGGGACACCGAGUGCCAGCAUCAUAUGCUGGCUGUCCGGGUGUGUAAAAUACACCCGUUAGCAAGGGCCGGGCAAGACCGGUGCCAGCCGCCGCGGUAGCACCGGCGGCCCGAGUGGUGAUCGUGAUUAUUGGGUCUAAAGGGUCCGUAGCCGGUUUGGUCAGUCCUCCGGGAAAUCUGACGGCUUAACCGUUAGGCUUUCGGGGGAUACUGCCAGGCUUGGAACCGGGAGAGGUAAGAGGUACUACAGGGGUAGGAGUGAAAUCUUGUAAUCCCUGUGAGACCACCUGUGGCGAAGGCGUCUUACCAGAACGGGUUCGACGGUGAGGGACGAAAGCUGGGGGCACGAACCGGAUUAGAUACCCGGGUAGUCCCAGCCGUAAACGAUGCUCGCUAGGUGUCAGGCAUGGCGCGACCGUGUCUGGUGCCGCAGGGAAGCCGUGAAGCGAGCCACCUGGGAAGUACGGCCGCAAGGCUGAAACUUAAAGGAAUUGGCGGGGGAGCAC
rnacentral:rRNA from 1 species